AACGUAGGAGGCAAGCGUUAUCCGGAGUUACUGGGCGUAAAGCGCGUGUAGGUGGGUUGGUAAGUUACUUAUGAAAGCUCCUGGCUAAACUAGGAGAGGUUGAGUGAUACUGCCAGUCUUGAAUAGAGGAGAGGUUGACGGAAUUCCGCGUGUAGUGGUGAAAUGCGUAGAGAUGCGGAAGAACACCAGUGGCGAAGGCGGUCAACUGGCUCAUAUUGACACUCAGACGCGAGCAUGGGUAGCGAACGGG
rnacentral:rRNA from 1 species